GUCACUGCUAUCAGUGUUCGACUAAGCCAUGCAAGUCAAAUGUUCUUCGUGAACAUGGCGGACUGCUCAGUAACACGUGGAUAACCUGCCCUUAGGAUUGGCAUAACACCGGGAAACUGGUGAUAAUACCGAAUAGACCAUUUAUGCUGGAAUGCUUUUUGGUUCAAAGGCUUCGGCUGCCUAAGGAUGGAUCUGCGGCCUAUCAGGUAGUAGUGGGUGUAAUGUACCUACUAGCCUACGACGGGUACGGGUUGUGAGAGCAAGAGCCCGGAGAUGGAUUCUGAGACAUGAAUCCAGGCCCUACGGGGCGCAGCAGGCGCGAAAACUUUACAAUGCGGGAGACCGCGAUAAGGGGACACUGAGUGCCAGCAUAUUAUGUUGGCUGUCCACAUGUAUAAAAACCAUGUGUUAGCAAGGGCCGGGCAAGACCGGUGCCAGCCGCCGCGGUAACACCGGCGGCCCGAGUGGUGAUCACUUUUAUUGGGUCUAAAGGGUCCGUAGCCGGUUUGAUCAGUCCUCCGGGAAAUCUGACAGCUCAACUGUUAGGCUUCCGGGGGAUACUGUCAGACUUGGGACCGGGAGAGGUAAGAGGUACUACAGGGGUAGGAGUGAAAUCUUGUAAUCCCUGUGGGACCACCAGUGGCGAAGGCGUCUUACCAGAACGGGUCCGACGGUGAGGGACGAAAGCUGGGGGCACGAACCGGAUUAGAUACCCGGGUAGUCCCAGCCGUAAACGAUGCUCGCUAGGUGUCAGGGACGGUGCGACCGUUUCUGGUGCCGCAGGGAAGCCGUGAAGCGAGCCACCUGGGAAGUACGGCCGCAAGGCUGAAGCUUAAAGGAAUUGGCGGG
rnacentral:rRNA from 1 species